GAUGAACGCUGGCGGCGUGCCUAAUACAUGCAAGUCGAGCGCAGCGGGGACGGGUGCGUAACACGUGGAUAACCUCCUAUACGACUGGGAUAACUUCAGGAAACCGGAGCUAAACCGGAUAUUCAUUGUUGGAUCCGCGCUGCAUUAGCUAGUUGGUAAGGUAACGGCUUACCAAGGCAACGAUGCAUAGCCGACCUGAGAGGCGGAUCGGCCACACUGGAACUGAGACACGGUCCAGACGCCUACGGGAGGCAGCAGUAGGGAAGCUUCCGCAAUGGGCGAAAGCCUGAUGGAGCAACGCCGCGUGAUGGAUGAAGGUCUUCGGAUCGUAAAACUCUGUUGUUAGGGAAGCGGUACCUAAUCAGAAAGCCACGGCUAACUACGUGCCAGCAGCCGCGGUAAUUC
rnacentral:rRNA from 1 species